UGAAUUCGGGACAAUCUUGUGGGAUGU
rnacentral:piRNA from 1 species